rnacentral:rRNA from 1 species
AGCUCCAAUAGCGUAUAUUAAAGCUGUUGCGGUUAAAAAGCUCGUAGUUGGAUUUCUGUCAAGGACGACUGGUCCGCCUUCUGGGUGAGCACAUAGUUUGGUCUUGGCAUCUUGCUGGAAACUGUUGCUGCACUUGACUGUGUGGUGCAGUGUCCAGCACUUUCACUUUGAGGAAAUUGGAGUGUUUCAAGCAGGCAUAUGCCUUUGGACACAGUAGCAUGGAAUAAUUAGAUUGGGCUUUUGCUCCAACUUGUCGGUUUCUGGAGCUGAAGUGAGAAUCAAUGGGGAUUGUUGGGGGCAUCCGAAUUUAGCCGUCAGAGGUGAAAUUCUUGGAUCUGCUAAAGACGGACAACUGCGAAAGCCUUUGCCCAGGAUGUUUUCAUUGAUCAAGAACGAAAGU